ensembl:vault_RNA Vault Vault RNA
GGGCCGGCUUUUAGCCCAGCGGUUCCUUCGGCAUUUCAGAACAUUUCCUGCUCUGUCUAACGUUAAGGCGUUCGAGCCCCACAUUGGGCGCCAUCUAUCCGUGCC